AGGCAACAGUUCCAGAAAUCCCCAAGCCUGAAUUGCCUAAGGUUGAAUUGCCACCGUUACCAAAACCUGAAAUACCACAAAUUCCAAAGCCUGAAUUACCUGAGAUUCCAAAGCCUGAGCUUCCUAAAAAACCUCAAUUACCAGAGAUUCCAAAGCCAGAACUACCGAAGAAACCUGAAUUACCUGAGAUUCCAAAGCCUGAGUUGCCAAAAGAACCAGAAUUGCCAGAGAUUCCGAAAGCUGAGGUGCCAAAAGAGCCUGAAGUACCUGAACUUCCGAAGCCUGAGUUGCCCAAAGUGCCUGAGGUGCCAAAAGAGCCCGAAGUACCUGAACAUCCGAAGCCUGAGUUGCCCAAAGUGCCUGAGGUGCCAAAGGAGCCCGAAGUACCUGAACUUCCAAAGCCUGAGUUGCCCAAAGUGCCUCAGGUGCCAAAAGAGCCCGAAGUACCUGAACAUCCGAAGCCUGAGUUGCCCAAAGUGCCUGAGGUGCCAAAGGAGCCCGAAGUACCUGAACUUCCAAAGCCUGAGUUGUCCAAAGUGCCUGAGGUGCCAAAGGAGCCCGAAGUACCUGAACUUCCAAAGCCUGAGUUGCCCAAAGUGCCUGAGGUGCCAAAAGAGCCCGAAGUACCUGAACAUCCGAAGCCUGAGUUGCCCAAAGUGCCUGAGGUGCCAAAGGAGCCCGAAGUACCUGAACUUCCAAAGCUUGAGUUGCCCAAAGUGCCUGAGGUGCCAAAAGAGCCCGAAGUACCUGAACAUCCGAAGCCUGAGUUGCCCAAAGUGGCUGAGGUGCCAAAGGAGCCCGAAGUACCUGAACUUCCAAAGCCUGAGUUGCCCAAAGUGCCUGAGGUGCCAAAAGAGCCCGAAGUACCUGAACUUCCAAAGCCUGAGUUGCCCAAGGCGCCUGAAUUGCCUUCUUUCCCCCAUCUACCUGAGCUUCCUAAGCCGACAUUUCCCCCCAUCCCGAGUCUUCCCAAGGAGAUGCCAACUCACUCAACCACCAAUCCUUAAAUUCCAUUUUCUUCAAAUGCUUUCCCGAGCUUCAUCUGGUUCUCUGCAGAUGUAUAUCAAUAAAUUAUAUUUGUUGUUUCUUGUUUUGAGACUUUCCAAAUUUGUGUGUUUUCCCUUUUGAGGAUUCUUUUUGUUAUUGUUUUUAAAUCUGGGAUACGACUCGUGAUGAGUUCGGCUACGCAGGACUACUGUUGUAUUCAUUUCUACAUAAUAAAUUGAGUGAUAUAUAUUGUAUUUUUAUGUUUAGCAGUCUGAUUUGAGGUUUCUGAUUUUAUAUGUGCUCUAUCACGUAAUUGCAUUUUAUCUUCAUUUUGACGUCAGUCGAAAAUGUAUAGGAAAUUUAAAAUAAUGAUGAUUGCUGUGUCACAUCGAUUAAAUUGGUAUUUAAUUUUUUGUGAUUUUAAAAUAUACAGAAAAAUAAAUUAAAGAGACAACUUUUUGUUUUGUGUUUCAGCAUUCGAAGCUAGAAAGACCUAAACGAACUUCAGCACCGCAGCGACAGUGAUAUUUUAGAAAAAUAAACUAGGACGACCCUUUAUCUGAUCAUCAAGGGGAGAAAAAUCAGAUUUAUUUGUUCCCUUUGACCACACAGUCGGUUAUGAUUUUGUCGAACAGCAAACCGUGAAGAGCUACGUGCCCAAAAUAGGAAUGUUUACGUGACUUUUAGACUAGAGCUGUCACUAAUGUUUAAUAUGAAACUAAUCCAUCCUGAACUAGAUUUACAACUUUUGUAAAUGUUUUUUUGCAGAAUAAAUAUUCUCACUUGAGACGAAAUAUCCCCAUUACACAAGGUCCAUAAAAAAAAUGAUUAAUUUGCAGAGAGAGUUACAAAAAAAAUGAUUAAAUUAUAGAGAGAGCUUACAUUAAAACCAGAUAAGGACAGAAGUUAGUAACUCAAUUGAUCAAUUCUAACAAGGAACAAGAAACAAGGAGCAAAAGUGAAUUAUAUAAAACUAGCUAGUAUUAAUAUUCAAAAACAAAGUAAUAAAAUGAAAUGAAUUAUUUUAGGCUCAAGUUCUAGCACUUGACACGUGAUAUUUUUUGGUCUGAUUUUUUUGAAGUACACACAUGUGCAUUUGAUUAUCCUGAUUUGAGCUUUUUGUUGGGAAAAAUCGGGUGGGUGAAGUAGACACGCAAUUUAAAUGAAAUAAAAAAAUAAUGAUCAUACAGGGACACCAGAAUUUAUGUGGUUUGACUUUUAGCAUACGUCCAUAUGUUGUCAGAUAUGCUAGAGUGCAUUUACUUAUGCUGUCAGAUAUGCUAAACUUUAAUCUAUGCUGCUUACUUGUAGCACAGUGCUCGCAAAAUGAUAAGUUCACCUAUUUAAGCCCUGGAAGCAACUUUUUCCCAGAGAGAAUCUUCAAACCUUGUUUCCACAUGUGGCCAAGUUUGAGAUGCACAUCAUUGUCGAUUCUUCUCUAUUUGACGCAACACAAGCAGUAGCUUCUUGCAAUGUUUCCCCUUUAAGCAUGAAUAAAUUGGCACAUAUAUUUUCUGCCUUCAUCAAUACAAGCGUACUUCUGACAAUCUUCAUGAUCCCAUUUUCCACCUGAGUUUUAUAGUCAAGACUAUCUAUUUGUCCUAAAGACAAUAGAUUUUUUUUCAUACAUUUGACAUGCAGUACCUCCUAAAUAGUGCAAAUAUACCAUCAAAUAUUUUUAUUUUGAUAGAACCAACACUAGCAAUCUCCAAGGUAUGAUUAUCACCCAUAUAUACCGAUUCUCCUAAGAUAGGUUCAUAUUUGUGGGAUUAUUCUCUCUAAGAGGUCCUGUGCCAGUAGCUCUUGAGUCUAUAAACCAGACGUCAGAUAGUUUUUUUCUGCCUUCUGCAACCAUAACUGCCUCGUUGUAUAAAACGUCAUCAUCAUAUGAGGUACUUACUACACACCCCUAAGUAUUUGAUGACUUAGGAUCUUUACCCUCUCCUUUCUACUGGUAACUCCAACACUCUUUCUUGACAUGCCAUAUUUUUCCACAUUUGUAGCAUCUGAUUUUCUUCUUACUUCUUAAAUUUGAUCUACCAUGAUUGUGACUCCUACUAGGACUACGUUUCACUGACCUCCCUCUCAUCAUCAUGCGCUUCCACUUGCAGCGAACUUGCUUAACUGUCUUCCUAGUUUUUGCGCCUACUCUCUUAUUCUAAUACAGAGGCUGUAACAUCAUCGAAGACUAAGUACUCCAUAAGGAUAUUGUUCAUCAAGUUGAUGAUGAGUUGAUCAUAUGAGUCAGGUAAACUUUAAAGUAGAAGCUCUGCACGUUCAAUUUCUUCUAUUUUAUACCCAACGUCGUAAGUUGUGAAAAUAGAGUUUUAAGAGUGUUGAUAUGGUCGCUCAUCGUUAUGGUUUCCGCAAUUCGAAAAGUAUAGAGUCUCCUCUUCAAAAAGAUAUUAUUGUGUAGUGACUUGGCCUCAUACAGUUUUGUGAGAGUAUCCCAAAUACCUUUCAUUGUCUUUUCCUCCGCCACACUAGAUAACACCCCAUCUGAGUGCCAGGUGUAGAUCAACAAUUGCAUUGCUGUCACUUCAUUCCACUUGUCACCAGUGAUUUUUGCAGGCCUUUCCCCAAUUAUUUUUAAGCAAUUAUUUUUCCUCAAGACUAGGUACUCCGUAAGGAUAUUGUUCGUCAAGUUGAUUAUAUAAGUCAGGUAAACUUUGAAGUAGAAGCUCUGCACAUUUAAUUUCCUCUACUUUAUGCCAAACAUCAUAAGUUGUGAAAAUAAAGUUUUAAGAGUGUUGGUAUGGUCGAUCACCGUUGUGGUUUCCCCCAUUCGAAGAGUAUAGAGUCUCCUCUUCAAGAAGAUUUUGUUGUGUAGUGACUUGAUCUCGUAUAGUUCUGUGAGAGUAUCCCAAAUACCUUUCACUGUCUUUUCCUCUGCCACACUAGAUAACACCCCAUCUGAGUGCCAGGUGUAGAUCAACAAUUACAUUAUUGUCCAUUCAUUCCACUUGUUACCAGUGAUUUUUGCAGGUCUUUCCCCAAUCACUUUUAAGCAAUUAUUUUUCCUCAAGAUUGCCCGCAUCCUCAUUUUCCAUAACGAGAAAUUGCUCCCGUUGAACUUCUUAAUUUCAAACGUUGCUGUCAUUUUGUUAAUACCGCACACAAGUUAGUGUACCUCCUUGAAUAGUUAUGAGUGAUCACACGUGUGAAUAUGCACACUACGAAAGUUCCUAAGAAAGACUGGAGGGGUCACAAUGAUCCCACUUAAAAUCCAAACUUCUUAAACUCUUAUUGCCUUUAUGACAGAAUUUUCCUAGAUAUGUACAAGACCACACAAUUACUUUCACUCACAUCACUAUUCCCUACUUUGUACCGCAGAAUUCUUGGAUCGCUCCCAUCGUUUCAUGUGAAUAAUGCCGUAUACGUGAAUAGUAUUGUAUAUGUGAAUAGUAUCGUAUACGUGAACAAUACCCGACUCCAAAGAUUUGCAACCAAUGGCUCUGAUACCACUUGUUGGGAAAAUUCAGCGGGUGAGUAGACAUACAACUAAAGUGAAAUUGAAAAAUAAUUAUCAUACAACAACACCAGAAUUUACAUAGUUCAGUUUUUAGCCUACGUCCACAUGCGAAGACAGAAGGAAAUAUUUUGCUAGUAAAAAUGAGUUACAAGUAUUAUAGUAUUUUUGUCUCACAACCCAAAACUCCAGUACACUAAAACUCUGAAAAACACUAGAACUAGAGUACAAAGCUCUCAACACUCUCAACUUACACCUCUUGGCACUCUCACUCUCACCAGAGAAAAUGAGAUGAUUCAAGAGGGCAAAUGAAGCCUUUAUUUAUAGGCCAGGUAAUGUCUAAAAAUCAAGGAUGGUGGGCAUUAAAAUAAUAUAAAUUUUCUCUGAACCUUCUACUUUGGUGCCAGAGUCAAAAGCUAUAUUACUCUCACUUACUCAUGUCUCCCACUUACUCAAUAAUUUUAUGACGAGAGUCAAAAGUUGCAUGCUAACCACAUGCAAUUGUUUGCCACAUGCAUACAUAUGUUCAACACUUUUACCUGAGUAAAUAUAAAUUGGUAAUUGACUUUUACAUAAUUCGUUAAGAUUAUUGGCGAAAAGAUGGUGCCCCAAGUACUACAUAUCAAAAUUGUGGCCAACAAACAGGAGAUCUUACAUAAAAUAUGAUCAAAUGACACGACGUUGAUUCGUACGUAAAUAUGCUUUUGACUUGUUCAUGAUUAAUAUUGAUAAGACACAUUUGACCAACCACGACAACGUUUGAAAAUAACCAAUGCAUAAUGGAUAACAUGUGCUUCCAACCACAACAAAUAGUUAAUCUGGCUUAAAAUCUCAAUCAUAGAGCGUUCAAUCUUCUUUCUUGUAGCAUUCAAAUACAAGGAGAAGACAAUCUGAUAAAUUAAUUGAAGAGGAAAAAUGGGAAUAAGAGAAACGGCAUGUCGCUGUUAACAUCCAUUAGGAAAUGAAAUUCAAUUACGUAUUAGUGUGUUUUCGAGAAGGGAAGCUUAUGUCAUUAGGUGUUUUAUGACAUAUAUGACCACAAAGUUAUAAAAUAAUGUUAAUUUUUUUUUAUUAUUAACUCAGGCAUACAUUAAAAUUCGAACUCAAGGUUUGAGCCUUAGAAAGGCCGUUCCUUACCAUAGGAACUGGCUUCAAUAAUCUUAAAUAAUUUGCAGAAAAGUAUUGAAUAAAAUAAUCAUUCAGAGGUUAUUAUUUUAACCAUUUACCUUCUUUUUUUUCACAGGGGAUAUAUGAAAAGAUAAUGAAUAAUCCCUUAAUAUAACAAUUAAUUGCAAUAUAAUUGCUUAUAUAACAUAUUAUACAAUGAUAUAUAAUCGUUAUGACGUACGUGGAAUUAGCAGAAGUGAGAGGUUGAUGAACUAACAAGACAUAAAUUUCUUACCAAGUACCAACCCAAGCUUAAUUUAUUUAUAUUUUACUAUUUUAGUCAUACCUACCCAAUCUUGAAACCCUCUAUUCUACGCUUCGCCACACCUAUAAAAGCCUCAUAACACAUGAAAUCAAUGCAUAAACACAUUUGAUCCCUUCUCUUUUGAUUGUUAUUACCGCAACACAAUAUAUGUUUCAUCUCUUAUAGCUUUAUUCGGCAAUAGUUCAACCAUGGCAUCCUUCUCUUUCUCAUCCGUUAUGCUACCACUUUUGCUAAUCGCUUUAUCGUCAAUGAGCUUUAACAUUGAUUUGAUCGCUGCUCGCCAUCUUCUAGAGGCAACAGUUCCAGAAAUACCCAAGCCUGAAUUGCCUAAGGUUGAAUUGCCACCGUUACCAAAACCUGAACUACCACAAAUUCCAAAGCCUGAAUUACCUGAGAUUCCAAAGCCUGAGCUACCUAGAAAACCUGAAUUACCAGAGAUUCCAAAGCCUGAGUUGCCAAAAGAACCUGAAUUGCCAGAGAUUCCGAAACCUGAGGUGCCAAAAGAGCCUGAAGUACCUGAACUUCCAAAGCCUGAGUUGCCCAAAGUGCCUGAGGUGCCAAAAGAGCCCGAAGUACCUGAACAUCCGAAGCCUGAGUUGCCCAAAGUGCCUGAGGUGCCAAAAGAGCCUGAAGUACCUGAACAUCCGAAGCCUGAGUUGCCCAAAGUGCCUGAGGUGCCAAAAGAGCCCGAAGUACCUGAACAUCCGAAGCCUGAGUUGCCCAAAGUGCCUGAGCUGCCAAAGGAGCCCGAAGUACCUGAACUUCCAAAGCCUGAGUUGCCCAAAGUGCCUGAGGUGCCGAAAGAGCCCGAAUUGCCUUCUCUGCCUCAUCUACCUGAGCUUCCUAAGCCCACAUUUCCCGCCAUCCCGAGUCUUCCCAAGGAGAUCCCAACUCACUCGACCACCAAUCCUUAAAUUUCAUCUUCUCCAAAUGCUUUCUCGAGCUUCAUCUGGAUGUAUACUAAUAAAUUAUAUUUGUUGGUUCUUGUUUUGAGACUUUCCAAAUUUGUGUGUUUUCACUCUUGAGGAGUUUUUUGUUAUUGUUUUUAAGUCUGGGAUACGACUCGCGAUGAGCUCCGCUCCACAGGAGUACUGUUGUAUUCAUUUUUACAUAAUCUAUUGAGUGAUAUUUAUUGUACUUUUAGGUUUAGCAGUCUGAUUUGAGGUUUCUGAUUUUAUGUGCUCUAUGACAUAUAUUACAUUUUAUCUUCAUUUUGACUUUAGUCGAAAACGUAUAGCAAAAUAAAAGAGACA
rnacentral:lncRNA from 1 species